rnacentral:rRNA from 1 species
UACAGAGGUCUCAAGCGUUGUUCGGAUUCAUUGGGCGUAAAGGGUGCGUAGGUGGCGCCGUAAGUCAGGUGUGAAAUUUCGGAGCUUAACUCCGAAACUGCAUUUGAUACUGCGGUGCUUGAGGACUGAAGAGGAGACUGGAAUUUACGGUGUAGCAGUGAAAUGCGUAGAGAUCGUAAGGAAGACCAGUGGCGAAGGCGGGUCUCUGGACAGUUCCUGACACUGAGGCACGAAGGCCAGGGGAGCAAACGGG